rnacentral:rRNA from 1 species
GACGAACGCUGGCGGCGUGCUUAACACAUGCAAGUCGAACGGAAAGGCCCUGCUUUUGUGGGGUGCUCGAGUGGCGAACGGGUGAGUAACACGUGAGUAACCUGCCCUUGACUUUGGGAUAACUUCAGGAAACUGGGGCUAAUACCGGAUAGGAGCUCCUGCUGCAUGGUGGGGGUGGGAAAGUUUCGGCGGUUGGGGAUGGACUCGCGUCUUAUCAGCUUGUUGGUGGGGUAGUGGCUUACCAAGGCUUUGACGGGUAGCCGGCCUGAGAGGGUGACCGGCCACACUGGGACUGAGAUACGGCCCAGACUCCUACGGGAGGCAGCGGUGGGGAAUAUUGCACAAUGGGCGGAAGCCUGAUGCAGCAACGCCGCGUGCGGGAUGACGGCCUUCGGGUUGUAAACCGCUUUCGCCUGUGACGAAGCGUGAGUGACGGUAAUGGGUAAAGAAGCACCGGCUAACUACGUG